rnacentral:snRNA from 1 species
AUACCUUUCUCGGCCUUUUGGCUAAGAUCAAGUGUAGUAUCUGUUCUUAUCAGUUUAAUAUCUGAUAUGUGGCCCAUUGGGUCACACGAUAUUAAAUUACUUUUUUGAGGGGGAGUUGCCACCACNN